rnacentral:rRNA from 1 species
AUUGAACGCUGGCGGCAUGCUUUACACAUGCCAGUCGAACGGCAGCGCGGGCUUCGGCCUGGCGGCGAGUGGCGAACGGGUGAGUAAUACAUCGGAACGUGCCCAGUAGUGGGGGAUAGCACGGCGAAAGCCGGAUUAAUACCGCAUACGACCUGAGGGUGAAAGCGGGGGAUCUUCGGACCUCGCGCUAUUGUAGCGGCCGAUGGCAGAUUAGCUAGUUGGUGGGGUGAGGGCCUACCAAGGCGACGAUCUGUAGCUGGUCUGAGAGGACGACCCGCCACACUGGAACUGAGACACGGCCCAGACUCCUACGGGAGGCAGCAGUGGGGAAUGUUGGACAAUGGGCGAAAGCCUGAUCCAGCAAUGCCGCGUGUGUGAUGAAGGCCUUCGGGUUGUAAAGCACUUUUGGCGGGAACGAAAAGCACUGUGCCAAUACCACGGUUCGAUGACGGUACCCGCAGAAUAAGCACCGGCUAACUACGUG